UGCUGACGUAACUGAAACGGACACCAACUAUUCGAGCUUUUGCCUCGUCGUCGAGUGGAUCGGUGACUCGCUUGGCUCGAACAAAACCAGACAUUUUCAGUUUGAGGUAAGAUCCAAAAUUUUUCUCUGCGUGUGUUUUAAAGCCGGUAGCUGCUUAAUUAAAGGAUAAGCAGGGUCUGGAAGAAGUAUAAAGAAAUGGUUUAGUAUUUAUAGAAAGCAAUAAAAAAAAUUAGUUUCUUUGAGAAUUUGCUUUGGAAUAUUCGUUGGAAAUGUUUUACAGAACAGUUGCUUUUUGAUCUUCUAUAGGUUCAAAUAAUUUGUUUAAAGCUGAAAAAAACUCGUGCAAGAGGAUAUACCGAUUAUAUCCUGCUGAGGGGUGUACAUGGCACAGCAUAUCCUACGGCACCUGGCGAGUAUAUUCAUCCUACGAAGAGUUGACGUGGACGUACAUGAUUUGCCCGUGGUUCGUGGGGUCUUUUUGGUUGCCACGAGUUUGGCACGUGUCCUCAAUAAUUUAUUUAGGACACGAGAGAGAUAUGGUGGGGUAUGGACUUUUUUGGAAUUCGGGGAAGUGUGAUUUGGC
rnacentral:lncRNA from 1 species